GACGGGGCCCGCACAAGCAGCGGAGCAUGUGGCUUAAUUCGACGCAACGCGAAGAACCUUACCAGGGCUUGACAUGCAGGGAAAAGCGGCGGAAACGUCGUGUCCGCAAGGGCCCUGCACAGGUGGUGCAUGGCUGUCGUCAGCUCGUGUCGUGAGAUGUUCGGUUAAGUCCGCUAACGAGCGCAACCCUCGUCGUAUGUUAUAUGUGUCAUACGAGACUGCCGGUAAAAGCCGGAGGAAGGUGAGGAUGAUGUCAAGUCAGCAUGACCUUUAUAUCCAGGGCUACACACACGCUACAAUGGUCUGUACAAUGGGUAGCCAAGCCGCGAGGCGGAGCCAAUCCUGAAAGCAGGCCUCAGUUCAGAUUGCAGUCUGCAACUCGACUGCAUGAAGCCGGAGUUGCUAGUAACCGCAGGUCAGCAAUACUGCGGUGAAUACGUUCCCGGGUCUU
rnacentral:rRNA from 1 species